rnacentral:tRNA from 5 species
GGGUCGUUAGCUCAGCCGGUAGAGCAGCGGACUUUUAAUCCGUUGGUCGCGAGUUCGAAUCUCACACGACCCACCA